GUUUUCCAGGGCAAAGGCAGUUUGUCGGAUAGGGAUGGGGAUGCGUUCCAUUAGGCAGUCGCGGGUAACGGCCCACCGAGCCUACGAUGGAUAGGGGUUCCUGAGAGGAAGGCCCCCCACACUGGGACUGAGACACGGCCCAGACUCCUACGGGAGGCAGCAGUGAGGAAUAUUGGUCAAUGGCGGGAACGCUGAACCAGCCAAGUAGCGUGAGGGAUUACGGCCCUAUGGGUUUUAAACCUCUUUUGUUAGGGGAGCAACCGGUGGCACUAGUGCCAUUCUGCGAGUACCUUUCGAAUAAGCAUCGGCUAACUCCGUGCC
rnacentral:rRNA from 1 species